UCCCGUUUAGCUCAGUUGGUAGAGCCACUAGUACCUACUGCUUGGUUAGGCCAUGACGAGGUCAGUCGUUCGAGUCGGCUAAUGGGAA